rnacentral:rRNA from 1 species
AACGAACGCUGGCGGCAUGCCUAACACAUGCAAGUCGAACGAGACCUUCGGGUCUAGUGGCGCACGGGUGCGUAACGCGUGGGAACCUGCCCUUAGGUUCGGAAUAACUCCCCGAAGGGGGUGCUAAUACCGGAUAAUGUCUUCGGGCCAAAGAUUUAUUGCCUUUGGAUGGGCCCGCGUUGGAUUAGCUAGUUGGUAGGGGAAAAGCCUAGCAAGGCGACGUUCCAUAGCUGGUCUGUGAGGAGGAUUAGCCACACUGGGACUGAGACACGGCCCAGACUCGUACGGGAGGGAGCAGUGUGGAAUAUUGGACGAUGGGCGCAGGCCUGAUACAGCAAUGCCGGGUGAGUGAUGAAGGCCGUAGGGUUGUAAAGCUCUUUUACCCGGGAUGAUAAUGACGGUACCGGGUGAAUAAGCACCGGCUAACUACGUG